GACGAACGCUGGCGGCGUGCUUAACACAUGCGAGUCGAACGGAAAGGCCCUGCUUUUGUGGGGUGCUCGAGUGGCGAACGGGUGAGUAACACGUGAGUAACCUGCCCUUGACUUUGGGAUAACUUCAGGAAACUGGGGCUAAUACCGGAUAGGAGCUCCUGCUGCAUGGUGGGGGUUGGAAAGUUUCGGCGGUUGGGGAUGGACUCGCGGCUUAUCAGCUUGUUGGUGGGGUAGUGGCUUACCAAGGCUUUGACGGGUAGCCGGCCUGAGAGGGUGACCGGCCACAUUGGUACUGAGAUACGGCCCAGAAUCCUACGGGAGGCAGCAGUGGGGAGUAUUGCACAAUGGGCGGAAGCCUGAGGCAGCAACGCCGCGUGCGGGAUGACGGCCUUCGGGUUGUAAACCGCUUUCGCCUGUGACGAAGCGUGAGUGACGGUAAUGGGUAAAGAAGCACCGGCUAACUACGUG
rnacentral:rRNA from 1 species